GGUGAGUUGACAGAGCGGCCGAAUGUGACGGUCUUGAAAACCGUUGUAGGGCAACCCCCUACCGUGGGUUCAAAUCCCACACUCACCG
rnacentral:tRNA from 2 species